rnacentral:misc_RNA from 1 species
GGACCCUAAGUGUGUAAAUAUGAUCCUUUUGGGCGACAAAUUGCUAUGUAAAAUCAAAAUUCUCCAUUGAAAUUGCUCUCAGGAAAUGGCGAAAGAUUCACCAAAAACUCCCAAGUCGAGGUCGGCGACGAAUCCAUCAGUUGGCGUUUGGGCAGUACAGUGUGAAAAAUGCUUGAAAUGGAGGAGGAUUGCGACACAGGAACAGUUUGAAGAUAUCAGAAGUAGGUUUACUGAAGAACCCUUUAACUGCCCCAAUGGUACUUGUGAUGAUCCUGCAGACAUUGAGUACGAUGCUUCUCGAACUUGGGCUAUUGACAAGCCCAAUCUCCCUAAAACCCCAUCUGGCUUUAAGAGAGAAUUGUACCUCAGGAGAGAUUACUCUAAGAUGGAUACUUAUUAUUUCACUCCUUUAGGGAAGAAACUCAGAUCCGUUACUGAUGUUACUACUUUUCUUGAACAAAAUCCCCAGUUAUCUGACGUUAAACCCUCAGAUUUCAGCUUUACCAGCCCCAAAGUUAUGGAUGACACCAUACCCUCUACCGCUCUUCUUGCCAACUCUCACAAGAAGGGUGUAGCUAGUAGCACUAAAUGACUGGAUGGAUGGAGCUGGACUUGUUCAUAUGCUUAGUAGAUGCACUGUUUAGAGUCUUAAAGGUUCAACUUAUUCGCCAUGUAUUGUUAUUUUCCAUCUGCAAAAUACAUUUCAACUGCUCUGUUUACUUUUCAUGGUGAUGGAUUUGGUUGUGAC